ACAUUUCUUUUAGCUUUUUUUAAAAGUAAAGCCUGCCCACUGUUUAUAAUAAAGGGCCGCAGUAUAUUAACUGUGCAAAGGUAGCAUAAUCAUUAGUCUUUUAAUUGGGGAAUGGAAUGAAUGGUUUAAUGAUUUUUUUCUUUAUUUUUUAUUAAAUUAAAAUUUUGAUUUUAAGUGAAAAUACUUAAUUUAAUUAAAUAGACGAUAAGACCCUAUAGAAUUUUAUUUUUAUUAAUUUUAAAGAAAUUGAAUAACAGUUUAAUUGGGGCAAUUAAAGAAUAAUAUUAAUUUCUUUUGUUUAUAUUUAAAUAUCUUAUAUUAAAAAUUGAAAAAAUUACCUUAGGGAUAACAGCGUAAUUAAUAUUGAGAGUUCUUAUUGACAUAUUAGAUUGCGACCUCGAUGUUGAAUUAAAUUUCUUUAUAAGAGCAGAAUUUUAUAGAAAGUAGUCUGUUCGACUGUUAAAUUUUUACAUGAUUUGAU
rnacentral:rRNA from 1 species